rnacentral:rRNA from 1 species
AUACCGCGUGUGUGAAGAAGGCCCUAGGGUUGUAAAGCACUUUAAGUUGGGAAGAAAAGUUAUUGGUUAAUACCCAAUAACCGUGACAUUACCAUCAGAAUAAGGACCGGCUAAUUCCGUGCCAGCAGCCGCGGUAAUACGGAAGGUCCAAGCGUUAAUCGGAAUUACUGGGCGUAAAGCGCGCGUAGGUGGUUUAUUAAGUUGGAUGUGAAAUCCCCGGGCUCAACCUGGGAACUGCAUCCAAAACUGAUUCACUAGAGUACGAUAGAGGGAGGUAGAAUUCACAGUGUAGCGGUGGAAUGCGUAGAUAUUGUGAAGAGUACCAAUGGCGAAGGCAGCCUCCUGGAUCUGUACUGACACUGAGGUGCGAAAGCGUGGGUAGCGAACAGGAUUAGAUACCCUGGUAGUCCACGCCGUAAACGAUGUCAACUAGCUGUUGGAAAACUAUGUUUUUCAGUGGCGCAGCUAACGUAGUAAGUUGACCGCCUGGGGAGUACGGCCGCAAGGCUAAAACUCAAAUGAAUUGACGGGGACCCGCACAAGCGGUGGAGCAUGUGGUUUAAUUCGAUGCAACGCGAAAAACCUUACCUAUACUUGACAUACUUGGAAUGCUUUGUAAUGAAGCAGUGCCUUCGGGAGCCAAGAUACAGGUGCUGCAUGGCUGUCGUCAGCUCGUGUCGUGAGAUGUUCCGUUAAGUCGGAUAACGAGCGCAACCCUUACCCUUAUUUGCCAGCGAUUCGGUCGGGAACUAUAAGGGGACUGCCGGUGAUAAACCGGAGGAAGGUGAGGACGACGUCAAGUCAUCAUGGCCCUUACGUA